CACAUCACAUUGGAACACCAGAUGUAGUAUGAAUACCAAAGUUAAGCAAUGUCAAGCCUGGUCAGUACCUAGAUGGGUGACCCCUUGGGAAUACCAGUUGCUGUAAG